rnacentral:rRNA from 1 species
GGUUAAGCGACUAAGCGUACACGGUGGAUGCCCUGGCAGUCAGAGGCGAUGAAGGACGUGCUAAUCUGCGAUAAGCGUCGGUAAGGUGAUAUGAACCGUUAUAACCGGCGAUUUCCGAAUGGGGAAACCCAGUGUGAUUCGUCACACUAUCAUUAACUGAAUCCAUAGGUUAAUGAGGCGAACCGGGGGAACUGAAACAUCUAAGUACCCCGAGGAAAAGAAAUCAACCGAGAUUCCCCCAGUAGCGGCGAGCGAACGGGGAGCAGCCCAGAGCCUGAAUCAGUGUGUGUGUUAGUGGAAGCGUCUGGAAAGGCGCGCGAUACAGGGUGACAGCCCCGUACACAAAAAUGCACAUGCUGUGAGCUCGAUGAGUAGGGCGGGACACGUGGUAUCCUGUCUGAAUAUGGGGGGACCAUCCUCCAAGGCUAAAUACUCCUGACUGACCGAUAGUGAACCAGUACCGUGAGGGAAAGGCGAAAAGAACCCCGGCGAGGGGAGUGAAAAAGAACCUGAAACCGUGUACGUACAAGCAGUGGGAGCCUCUUAAUGGGGUGACUGCGUACCUUUUGUAUAAUGGGUCAGCGACUUAUAUUCUGUAGCAAGGUUAACCGAAUAGGGGAGCCGAAGGGAAACCGAGUCUUAACUGGGCGUUAAGUUGCAGGGUAUAGACCCGAAACCCGGUGAUCUAGCCAUGGGCAGGUUGAAGGUUGGGUAACACUAACUGGAGGACCGAACCGACUAAUGUUGAAAAAUUAGCGGAUGACUUGUGGCUGGGGGUGAAAGGCCAAUCAAACCGGGAGAUAGCUGGUUCUCCCCGAAAGCUAUUUAGGUAGCGCCUCGUGAAUUCAUCUCCGGGGGUAGAGCACUGUUUCGGCAAGGGGGUCAUCCCGACUUACCAACCCGAUGCAAACUGCGAAUACCGGAGAAUGUUAUCACGGGAGACACACGGCGGGUGCUAACGUCCGUCGUGAAGAGGGAAACAACCCAGACCGCCAGCUAAGGUCCCAAAGUCAUGGUUAAGUGGGAAACGAUGUGGGAAGGCCCAGACAGCCAGGAUGUUGGCUUAGAAGCAGCCAUCAUUUAAAGAAAGCGUAAUAGCUCACUGGUCGAGUCGGCCUGCGCGGAAGAUGUAACGGGGCUAAACCAUGCACCGAAGCUGCGGCAGCGACGCUUAUGCGUUGUUGGGUAGGGGAGCGUUCUGUAAGCCUGCGAAGGUGUGCUGUGAGGCAUGCUGGAGGUAUCAGAAGUGCGAAUGCUGACAUAAGUAACGAUAAAGCGGGUGAAAAGCCCGCUCGCCGGAAGACCAAGGGUUCCUGUCCAACGUUAAUCGGGGCAGGGUGAGUCGACCCCUAAGGCGAGGCCGAAAGGCGUAGUCGAUGGGAAACAGGUUAAUAUUCCUGUACUUGGUGUUACUGCGAAGGGGGGACGGAGAAGGCUAUGUUGGCCGGGCGACGGUUGUCCCGGUUUAAGCGUGUAGGCUGGUUUUCCAGGCAAAUCCGGAAAAUCAAGGCUGAGGCGUGAUGACGAGGCACUACGGUGCUGAAGCAACAAAUGCCCUGCUUCCAGGAAAAGCCUCUAAGCAUCAGGUAACAUCAAAUCGUACCCCAAACCGACACAGGUGGUCAGGUAGAGAAUACCAAGGCGCUUGAGAGAACUCGGGUGAAGGAACUAGGCAAAAUGGUGCCGUAACUUCGGGAGAAGGCACGCUGAUAUGUAGGUGAAGUCCCUUGCGGAUGGAGCUGAAAUCAGUCGAAGAUACCAGCUGGCUGCAACUGUUUAUUAAAAACACAGCACUGUGCAAACACGAAAGUGGACGUAUACGGUGUGACGCCUGCCCGGUGCCGGAAGGUUAAUUGAUGGGGUUAGCGGUAACGCGAAGCUCUUGAUCGAAGCCCCGGUAAACGGCGGCCGUAACUAUAACGGUCCUAAGGUAGCGAAAUUCCUUGUCGGGUAAGUUCCGACCUGCACGAAUGGCGUAAUGAUGGCCAGGCUGUCUCCACCCGAGACUCAGUGAAAUUGAACUCGCUGUGAAGAUGCAGUGUACCCGCGGCAAGACGGAAAGACCCCGUGAACCUUUACUAUAGCUUGACACUGAACAUUGAGCCUUGAUGUGUAGGAUAGGUGGGAGGCUUUGAAGUGUGGACGCCAGUCUGCAUGGAGCCGACCUUGAAAUACCACCCUUUAAUGUUUGAUGUUCUAACGUUGGCCCCUAAUCGGGGUUGCGGACAGUGUCUGGUGGGUAGUUUGACUGGGGCGGUCUCCUCCUAAAGAGUAACGGAGGAGCACGAAGGUUGGCUAAUCCUGGUCGGACAUCAGGAGGUUAGUGCAAUGGCAUAAGCCAGCUUGACUGCGAGCGUGACGGCGCGAGCAGGUGCGAAAGCAGGUCAUAGUGAUCCGGUGGUUCUGAAUGGAAGGGCCAUCGCUCAACGGAUAAAAGGUACUCCGGGGAUAACAGGCUGAUACCGCCCAAGAGUUCAUAUCGACGGCGGUGUUUGGCACCUCGAUGUCGGCUCAUCACAUCCUGGGGCUGAAGUAGGUCCCAAGGGUAUGGCUGUUCGCCAUUUAAAGUGGUACGCGAGCUGGGUUUAGAACGUCGUGAGACAGUUCGGUCCCUAUCUGCCGUGGGCGCUGGAGAACUGAGGGGGGCUGCUCCUAGUACGAGAGGACCGGAGUGGACGCAUCACUGGUGUUCGGGUUGUCAUGCCAAUGGCACUGCCCGGUAGCUAAAUGCGGAAGAGAUAAGUGCUGAAAGCAUCUAAGCACGAAACUUGCCCCGAGAUGAGUUCUCCCUGACUCCCUGAGAGUCCUGAAGGAACGUUGAAGACGACGACGUUGAUAGGCCGGGUGUGUAAGCGCAGCGAUGCGUUGAGCUAACCGGUACUAAUGAACCGUGAGGCUUAACCUU